CUGGCUCUGCCUGGAAAGGUAAGGUGGGCGUCGGCCAUUACAGUCGAGUGGACCUGACCGAACUCUCAUCCGUCUCUGUCUGACCCAAACCUUGGCAGACGUCAGACAGAGAGAUGCUCACCGUGAAGACUGAAGUCCCAGAACACACAGGAAGCCUCAAAGUUUGCCUGAAAAGAAAGUGGACCUCAUGAAACUUCUAUUGACGCGAUUGCUGAUGGACAAGUUGGAAACGCUGGAGGCCAGAACUGGACUGACCUCAGUCUGGUUGUUCAGUGUCUGGUCCUGCAGAGAGGAGAUAUUCAUCAUCAUCAUCAUCAUGUUCUGAUCUUCUACCGAGAGGAAGUAACUACCUGGAAGAGAAUGGGAUUGGUGUAGAACGUGAACUGGACCCUGCUGGCCUGCAACUGCUGCUCAGUACUGAGACCAUCGGUGAGGGACGAGGGCAGAAACACGGACCCUGCAGAUCUACCUGAACAUUACUGGUGCUGAUGAUAUCGACAGAGGUCGCCUGAAAAUUGGUUCCAUCGACCGGCAUCACCAGCUGAACCAGCAACUCAGAAGAGAGGAGCUCGCUACUGUCCUCCACUGACAGCUUCUCCCCCACUUUGUCCACCACUUUGAUGAUCCUGUCCGGAGGUGAAAGAGUGAAGCCUUCUCUACCGUGUCGUGAGGAGUGAGGGGUGAGUGGGUCGGUACCGGUUGGCCGAUGGAGCGAGAACUGCGGGGUCUGCCUGCAUCAGGUUGCUGAUGACGUUGAUCGCCUUCUGUCCCGAUUCUAUAGAAAUAGACUCUGCUUCCAGGAUCUUCUCCAGUUGCCCGACCACCAUGUCAAUCUACAUUGAUACAUUGAAAUGUAGCAGAACUAUUUCAACACCCCACUUGCCUUUUGCUUGUUUACCUGAGAGGAGUUGAGGCGCGAGGCGUCCUGUGUUUGACUCAGCAGCUCGUCUACUUGUUGCUCUGCAGACGCCUGGUUUUGGGUUUGUGUCGCUGACACUGUUGUGACAUUGGUCCGAGAGCCUGAAAAGAAAUAUAAUCAUUAAAAAGAUAACCUUGUUUAUCCUAAC